GAUGAACGCUGGCGGCGUGCUUAACACAUGCAAGUCGAACGGAAAGGCCCAAGCUUGCUUGGGUACUCGAGUGGCGAACGGGUGAGUAACACGUGGGUGAUCUGCCCUGCACUUCGGGAUAAGCCUGGGAAACUGGGUCUAAUACCGGAUAGGACGAUGGUUUGGAUGCCAUUGUGGAAAGUUUUUUCGGUGUGGGAUGAGCUCGCGGCCUAUCAGCUUGUUGGUGGGGUAAUGGCCUACCAAGGCGUCGACGGGUAGCCGGCCUGAGAGGGUGUACGGCCGCAUUGGGACUGGGAGACAGCCCAGACUCCUACGGGGGGCAGCAGUGGGGAAUAUUGCACGAUGGGCGCAAGCCUGAUGCAGCGACGCCGCGUGGGGGAUGACGGCCUUCGGGUUGUAAACUCCUUUCGCUAGGGACGAAGCGUUUUUGUGACGGUACCUGGAGAAGAAGCACCGGCUAACUACGUG
rnacentral:rRNA from 1 species